rnacentral:rRNA from 1 species
CAGUAGCCGCGGGAACACGUAGGUGGCAAGCGUUGUCCGGAAUUAUUGGGCGUAAAGGGCUCGCAGGCGGUUUCUUAAGUCUGAUGUGAAAGCCCCCGGCUCAACCGGGGAGGGUCAUUGGAAACUGGGAAACUUGAGUGCAGAAGAGGAGAGUGGAAUUCCACGUGUAGCGGUGAAAUGCGUUGAGAUCGGAAGGAACACCAACGGCGAAAGCACUCUGCUGGGCCGACACUGACACUGAGAGACGAAAGCUAGGGGAGCAAAUGGGAUUAGAUACCCCGGUAGUCCCUGUCUCUUAUAC